rnacentral:lncRNA from 1 species
UUGCAGUUAUUUACAUAAAAAACCCUUAAAAUUGAUGGUUUGAUGGUGUGGUUCUAGGGGUAUAUUUUUGUGGAGCUCGACGCACACGUUGAGGGCGAUUACGGUCAUCAACGUUCUCCUCAAUAGUAUGUUGGGGUGUGUGAAACAUAGAUGAAUAAUCAUAUGUCUCAAAUGCCAUCGAUGAACUUGAUCCAGGAGGAGAAGAGUACGACGGCGGAUAUUGGUCGGAAGGAGCGGAGUACUGACGUGGAUACGAGGCCGAGAAAUAGUCAUCGCCCCCCAAUUAUGGAUGAUAAGAACUAUCCCUAGAAUGUAGUUCUGUCUCUGGCACUGGCACUGGCUCUAGGUUUGGCUCUGGCUUUGGUGUAUGAUGCAGAUCUGGAAUGGGUUGCGUAAUUCGUGUCGUAUGCAGAGGGACUACAAUCGACCGCCCACCAAACAGAAAUGGUUUCCCUGUCUUACAGUACCACUGUAUGUACUCUAACGAUGGCUGCAAAUCAAGAGCACGAUCCAUCUGAGGUACCUUCCCG